UGUUUGAUUCCCCGAGGAGGCAAAGUUUAUAAAUUUAUUUAGUUGAUAAGAUCCCAAAUAAUUUGAUAUUGUAAUACACAAACUUCUCAGGGGGCUAAGUUUUUUAUCAUUAACUAAUUAAAAAUAUAUUUUUUACCAAAUAAUGGGCUAUCUGUAUUUAUAAUUUGGUAUAUAUCAAAAUCUUCUCAUUCUCUUCUUUCCAUCUCUCACAAGGUCUUAGCCAAGAAAAUGAAGCAAACUUUAUGCCUCACAGUUCUCUUCUUCAUCUUCCUUUUCUUUACCACAAGUUCGUCUGCAAUUAGAAGAGAGGAUCCAGAGCUAAGUCCAUUAGUUUCAGCUAUAACAGUGGAAGACGGCGCGGUUGAGAGCUUGAUGGGGAUGGAUUUUUGCGGAGAAGGAGAUGAAGAAUGCUUGAAGAGAAGAAUGAUGACCGAAGCUCACUUAGACUACAUUUACACACAACACCAUAAGCAUUAACAUAAUAAUUACAUUAAAUUUUGCAAAACACUUGGGCGUGUCUAGUGUGUUUAUUUAGCUAUGUAUUGUAUAUGUAGGAUGAACGAGAUAUUUUUCAUUCGGAACAAUCAUAUAACACCAAAUCUACCCGAAGUCUGGGGUUCGAUCUAAACCUAUA